rnacentral:lncRNA from 1 species
UUGAAGUUGUUGCUUACAGAGAGGGCAUGAAGAUGUAAUAGCAAGCCACUUAUCUACACACCUGAGAUGAAACACAUGGGAACAAGGUAACUGUCUCACUUCUUCCUUGUCUAUAUACUUGGCAAGGCAAAUGCAACAUUCCUGCAAAACCGAAGGCAACCGGAAGUAUUUUAAUCCCCCAUCGCUCUUUCUAUUUGAAUUUUCUAUUGUAGUUUUUUCAAAACCAGGAAGAGAAUUAUUACUUACUGGAUCCUCUUUUAGAAGUCCUGUAUUGCUAUUGUCGAGUUGACUUCUGGGGUUGAUGUUGGCUUCAACUGCUUUGUAUCUCCAGCAAGGUAGCUGGGAAAUUUGAUCGUCUGAUGCUCCUUUUUCAGUUGAUCCCGUGUUAAUGUUAUACCCUGUAAGGCUACUAAUCAAUGGCACACAGCAACAUAGCAGCAGAAACAGAAUAAAUGGGAAAGAGUAGCAGAUGGCAUUCCAAACUAGCAGGAAGCUGCAUAGUAGAUGUAGCUUGGGAGCUCUC